CGGGUGAGUAAUGCGUGACCAGCCUGCCCCAUGCUCCAGAAUAGCUCUUGGAAACGGGUGGUAAUGCUGGAUGCUCCAACUUGACGCAUGUCUUGUUGGGAAAGUGUUUAGUGGCAUGGGAUGGGGUCGCGUCCUAUCAGCUUGUAGGCGGGGUAAUGGCCCACCUAGGCUUCGACGGGUAGCCGGCCUGAGAGGGCGGACGGCCACAUUGGGACUGAGAUACGGCCCAGACUCCUACGGGAGGCAGCAGCA
rnacentral:rRNA from 1 species